rnacentral:misc_RNA from 1 species
CCGAGUUAUACAACCCCUCAAACCCCUGUGAACAUACCUAUAACGUUGCCUCCGGCGGGAACAGCCCGCGCCCCGUAACACGGGACGCCCCCGCCAGCAGGAUCCACCAACUCUGUUUUAUAUGUUACUUCUGAGUAACAAGACAAAUAAAUCUA